UUGUCUCUGAAGAUGUGUCCCAGUUCCUUAUUACAUAUUACCAAGUUUUGAGUUCAAAGAGUGUUCGCGCUGAAUAAAUAACAACUUAAAGUUUACUGCUGAAUGUCAGUUUGGUACUUAUUUGACUUUUUUAGUUAGUUUUUUAGUGUUUGGUUGUUAGAUAUCCCAGAAUGCAGUGGAGAAGCUGCUCACAGCUCGAAACAUUUCAGACUUAUUGUUCUGGACUCCAGAAAUGUGAUGGUAAACAUAGGAAAAGAUUUCUCUCUAUUAAAGAUAUUUUCAAUGCUCCGAAGUUGCAGUUUUGCUGUAUUAAAGUCUAUUCAUUUCUUGUAUUCUAACUGCAAAAAUAGUUUAUUUGGAGUAUGAAAAUCACAGUAUUGUAUUGGUAUGUAGUUUCGUGUUGGGACACAGCUUUAGGCCUCAUUCAAGAAGAGAACAAACGUCUCAAUCUGAGUUCAAAGUGAUUGGUUUCCUCUUUGCAAAGUGGAGAUGAAUUAUAUCGGAUUGAGAAAAGUGAUGCGAGAAAUGAAACCACAACAUUUUUUGUAGCAUCCACACCUAACAAACUGAAGCAUGCUGGAAUUAGUUACUCUUUCAGAUACGAACCUCUGCUCUUCUGCUGUUGUAGGACUUAGCAUGACUUGGAACAGCGACUUGAACAGCAGCCUCUCCUUGAUCUCUCUGAGAUCUUAUUUAACGGUUUUCAAACUUGUUUUGAAGUUUAUGGUUUGGAGCAGCGUCCACAGAACUUUCCACCAUAAAUGCUCUAUCAGUCAGUCUUAUCAAGUAUAAAAUUUAUGGCUUUUUGUUGCCAGUUGCCUCUUUGAACAUGAUUAUUUUCCCUUUUUAACAGUCCCUUUGGUCCGCUACAGUGUUCAAUUUUUAUUGGUAUGAGCCUGUUUUUUUUUUGUUUUUUUUUUUGGUUUUUAUGUUUUAUAUAAUUCUUUAUUUUUCAUGCGCAGAUUUGGAGCAGCACAGCUGCUGUUAUAAACGAUGUGGUGGAUAAACUGGCCUUCUCUCUCUUCACAGACUGUUGCCAUGGUGACAAUAAUGAGAACAGAUGUUGUAGUCACGAGAAGUGGGCGUGAUCACGAUAACACACUCUAUAAACACCCGAG
ensembl:lncRNA